AGAUCUAGGUAUCUUUGGCCACGGUAGCAGUUGCUGAUCAUUUCAGUUGUGAACUUUCCUUGGAGAUAGCAAGCUUAGUGAUGUGGAGAGCUGAGUCUACUUCCCCUCAUGGAUGUAAGAGUAGCAUCAAGCGAUGACAAUGCAAAAUCACCAAGGAAGUACAUUGCACUUUGUAUAUUUAUUUAUUAAGAUGAGGAUCUACUCUUUAUUGUAUUAUGUUUAAGUUAUCAUACAUUUAUUUGUAUAAGUUUUAGUUUGAUAUGAAUUUAAAAUUGUGAUGUUUGUUAGCAUUGAUAUUUUUAAUGGAAUUUGAUUUGUGAGAGUUAUUUAGUAAAAUUA